rnacentral:rRNA from 1 species
GUGCUGGCGCAGCUACCAUGCAGUCGAGCGGUAACAGAUCCAGCUUGCUGGAUGCUGACGAGCGGCGGACGGGUGAGUAAUGCAUAGGAAUCUGCCCGAUAGUGGGGGAUAACCUGGGGAAACCCAGGCUAAUACCGCAUACGUCCUACGGGAGAAAGGGGGCUUCGGCUCCCGCUAUCGGAUGAGCCUAUGUCGGAUUAGCUAGUUGGUGAGGUAACGGCUCACCAAGGCCACGAUCCGUAGCUGGUCUGAGAGGAUGAUCAGCCACAUCGGGACUGAGACACGGCCCGAACUCCUACGGGAGGCAGCAGUGGGGAAUAUUGGACAAUGGGGGGAACCCUGAUCCAGCCAUGCCGCGUGUGUGAAGAAGGCCCUCGGGUUGUAAAGCACUUUCAGCGAGGAAGAACGCCUAGCGGUUAAUACCCGCUAGGAAAGACAUCACUCGCAGAAGAAGCACCGGCUAACUCCGUGCCAGCAGCCGCGGUAAUACGGAGGGUGCAAGCGUUAAUCGGAAUUAA